rnacentral:sRNA from 1 species
UCCGUCUAAUGAGGCCGAAAAUCCGCC